rnacentral:rRNA from 1 species
GACGUAGGGCGCAAGCGUUGUCCGGAUUUAUUGGGCGUAAAGAGCUCGUAGGCGCCUGUCGCGUCGACCGUGAAAACCCGCAGCUCAACUGCGGGCUUGCGGUCGAUACGGGCAGGCUCGAGUUCGGUAGGGGAGACUGGAAUUCCUGGUGUAGCGGUGAAAUGCGCAGAUAUCAGGAGGAACACCGGUGGCGUAGACGGCUUUCUGGACCAUAGCUGACGCUGAGACACGAAAGCGUGGGUAGCAAACAGG